GGCGCUAUCGUCUAGAGGCCUAGGACAGGUGGUUCUCAGCCAUCAGACCGGGGUUCGAAUCCCCGUAGCGCUGCCA
rnacentral:tRNA from 1 species